rnacentral:lncRNA from 1 species
CUUCACGAGUAUAAAAAUAAAAAUGAAAAUCUUUUCUUACUGAAACCUCUUGAGAUUCAAUACUUCAAUCCUGUUAGAAAACAUACUUCUUACAACUUUCUACCACUCAUGUAGUAGCUUUUUUUCAGAUUAAAAACAUUUCAAACUUUCUGUCAUGAAACCUACAUAAAGCACUGUAAUCUUCUUUGACGAAAAAUCAUGCUUUUCAAUUUAAUUUCCAGUUUUGUAUUUUUGCCAGAUUGGAGGGGCAAGAAAAAGUGCACUCAUCCUUCUAAGAAACAGAAAACAAUGCAAAGAUCACAACGGAAGUUUUCCACAAACAGUGAUAGAAUAUGAGCGAGGAGCAGUUCAAAAGAAAAGCUCGGAUACAUGGCAGGAACAAAGUAGGGGCAAAUUCACAAAAGACAUACAAUGUUCACGUCGGAAAAUCGGAUUAUUACCUUGACUGAACAGAUGCUACACCCCCAGCGUCCCGUUGCCUUGGUUGAUUUGGUUUUGGCUUUUAUUAAUAUUAUUGUUUCUUAAUAGUUGAUUUGGCUGAUGUGGUUUGGCUUGGUUUUCGCUUGUGUUGUUGUUGUCGCCUUUUCUUUUUCUUUCUUUUUGGUCGAUUUAUUUAACUGCUAGCGAAAAGACCUUUCUGCAGCUGCGGCUGGUGCGGCGCCUGCGGCUGGUGCGGAUCGCGGCUGCCUCGCCCGGCGCCCGGGAGCCUCCAGCCGACCUGGGGACAGGGCGCCUCCGCCGCCCCGCAGUCGGGCUGUCAAUCGGGCCGCUCGAGCGGAAUUCUGGCUUUCCGCACUCUGCUCUCGCCGGCUGUCAGUCCUUCCGUCAGUCCGUCCGCCCCUCAGAGUUCCGCGGUCCACUCAGCUACGCGGGUCCUUCUUCCCGUCUUCGGUGCCCGCAGCGCUCCUGCUCUGUGCCCUGGACACUUCCCUGGGUCAGAGGAGGACGCCUGGAGGGAGGGCGCACCUCUCUCUCUCUCUCUCUCUCUCUCUCUCUCUCUCUCUCUCUCUUUCUCUCUCUCUCCCCCCUGCUUCCUGUCCUCUCCCAGGAGGCCGGGUAGGGCAGUCUGCUUGCUCCCACCUGUCCCUCUUUCUGCUCUCCGGGUGCCACCCAGAAUUAGCCAGCCUGGAUCCUGGAUCUGCCCCUGGGGACCACGCUGCCUGCCGAGCGCCUUGGGCGUCCACCCUUCCGCAGAUAUCCAGCCUUUCGUAGACUGUUCUAGAAGAGUGAUGCCUUCUGAUACACUAUAAAAUAUCCUUCAGUAAAAAAGGUAUUUCCUUACCAAGAAAAUCUGUUUUCUGUAUUCAAAGUAAGUCUCUGAAAUUGUAUUCUUUUUUCCUAUUUAUAGUCUCUAUAUUUGGGUAAACAAGACAAUUUGUGUCACUCAUUAAAACUGAAAAAUGAAUUAAGUUGCAUUAGAAAAUAGAUGUCUCCAAAUGUCCU